UGCAUGUAUGUAUGUAUCUUUGGGCGUGCGUCUGUGUAUUUUGAAUUUAAAAUGUUUUAACUCGGAAGGAUCUGGAUCACAGGUCAUUUCAUCUGAGAUCAAUCCGCACGCAACAGCUGGAAUCACUUACUGUUUCACACAAGGAAGGACACAAGUCAGCCGUUUCCUCAAGUUCAAGUCAGAGCGGAGAUGAUGUGAGAGGCUGACCAGAAGGAAACAGCGAGACAGUCUCCGCUUGGACUGGCUGAGGAAAGUCUCCUAAAUGGCCCUGGAGAUGUUCUGACUGACUUUGGAGGCUUUUUGGACUGUUUUAUGCCCUCUAUUUAAAGAAGACUUAAUUCUGUAUGUUCAGCCUGUAUGAUAAGUGAAUAAAAAGCUUUUGUUUUUAUGUGA